CAGUUAAAAGUUCAAGACAGACACAAUGUAGCCUCCAUAGCCUUCUUCCUCUCUUUUACUGUUUUCAGCAAACAUUCAAUAAAUCCAUGAUUUCUAGCAUGGUAUCAGAACCCAUGGUAUCUGAUCCGAUACCUUGUGGCUUCUGUGUUUAUCCAUACGUAGUUGCUUCCGCAUUUUCAUUUUCAGUUCCCUUCAAUUUCAGAUCCCCAAUUUCAAAACCCUAAACCCAAUCUUGAAUCGAUUCCCUCCUGGAGACGCUCUCGUUCUCUCCGGCGACUGGAAACUUUCCAUUCGAUGUCGUGGUCUUGUCGUCGGAUCUAUGAAGCCCUCUACGUUUUCUUCUUCUCCUUUUCGAAUUGAAGCUGCGAGAACCUUAAAUCGAAGCCGGGUCGUGGAUUCAUAUGCGUGAGUUGCGAUUUUGGUUUUGGGCCUCCUCCAUCGACGGUAGAUUCGUAUGGAUUUGAGAUUCUGCAAUUGUGUUUCAACUGCCUCUCUCCUCUCUAGCAUCAGUUUCUUCCGAAAUUUGGUUGCUUUAUAUAUUGCUGCCCUACUGUAGUUGCUAUCACCAUGAGAACUUUGAGAUUUUUUCCAGCAAGCUCCCUCUCCUCUUAUACCAAUUCUGCUGCAAGUCAAGAUGGAAGCUAGUUGAUCUUAUCAUAUCAAGUUGUUGGGUUAUUGAAUUGGGUGUUUUCCUGUAUUUUUUGGGCUAUAUCUGUGUAGUUUGCAGGCAACCAUUAUGCUUGUUCCCAAGCACAAGGUUGAGGGGGGGGUGUUAACUAUAUGCUAGGUUUAUGACAAUUAAGUUGUAAGGGCAUUUACGUCAUUAUAUAUUCUAAGCCCUGUAUGUAUUGUUGUAACCUCAUUCGCUCUCAAUCAAGUUAGACACAAUGUAGCCUCCGUAGCCUUCUUCCUCUCCUUUACUGUUUUCAGCAUUUUACAUUCAAUAAAUGAUUUCUAGCAGCUCGAAGAAUUUCUUCUGUAUGAGAUGCCUGAUGAAUUCAUUUCUAAGCUUCAAAUAGAUAGCGUGGAGCAUUACUUGGAUCGGAAUGUCCGAGUCAUCCAAUCUUUCUGUAGUGGAAGCAAUGGAAGCCAAAAUAUUUCUUGAUUGUAUUGGCAUAUGUCCACUAGCUAGAAAAUAUAUAUAUAUUAUGAGCAUUCACUGCAUGUGGCUUUUCUUUUGUUAUAAUUUUGCUCAUCAAUUAUCUCGAGUUAUGUAUAAUGAUUUUGGCAAACUGUUUAGUUUCUCUGUAUCAGUGAAAUGUAAGGAAUAAAGCUGUAAUUUGCUUCGUUGAUACU